UUGACACAGAGAAGAACCAAGUUCUAGCACAUCUCGUGUGUCUGUGUCAGAGAAAGGAGGGACCUUGAAUACCUCAUUGGAUUCACCAACACUGAGUUAAGGACAAUCGCAGUGUACUGGUCUGAAGAAGCUGACUGCCCAGUCCCUCCAUUGCCCCCAGACAAGAAUCUGUCCCUGCAAGCUUUCCCAGGAUAGUUGUGUCCACACAUAGAAAAAAGAGAUGGGAUGGUUCUCAGAGACUUUUCUUACUUCC